rnacentral:rRNA from 1 species
UACGUAGGGGGCAAGCGUUGUCCGGAUUUAUUGGGCGUAAAGAGCGUGUAGGCGGCUAGAUAGGUCCGUUGUGAAAACUCGAGGCUCAACCUCGAGACGCCGGUGGAAACCAUCUAGCUAGAGUCCGGAAGAGGAGAGUGGAAUUCCUGGUGUAGCGGUGAAAUGCGCAGAUAUCAGGAAGAACACCCGUGGCGAAGGCGGCUCUGUGGUACGUGACUGACGCUCAGGCACGAAAGCGUGGGGAG